ACUGUGUUCCCUGCUCUCCUCAUAUUCACGUUGGAGGAACAACAGCAUGCUGUCGGACAGAGGUGGCUAUUAAUACAUUCUGGAUAACAAGCACACAGCUCAACCCAGGGCUCCCUCAGGGAAAUAGAAGAGAUUGAAGAAAUAAUGCCAUACUGGGGAGGUCGGGGGAGGAAUAUCUCCGUUAACCCAUCACACAAACAUUAAAAAUAAAAUUAGAAUAGAUAGCCUAUGAUUCCUCAGCUAGGCAGAAGCAAAAGAAAUUGAAAAUAUUAUUCGUAAGUGGUAAUGGCUUUUCUCCAAAGAACGGCCUCUUUUCUUCCAUCUGAUUACAGCGUCCUUCACAAAAGGUCAGCCUCGUGCUCAUCCAGAAUCAAGAUGUGCAGGUCCCCCUCGGUUCUUCUCUUGCAGGCCAAGGCAGGCAGUUCCAACAGCCUGGGGUUGGAGACCCCAUUUUGGAAGACACUUGUUUGAUAAGCAUCUCAAGUGUGACUGCCUUUGACCUCUUCAAGGACAGUGUUGCUUCAGGACGCCAGCAGGAGCCACUGGAGUGGGGAGCCAGAGACAGCACUCCUGGCAGUGUGCGAUGUGAUUGAUACCCUCAGACUCUCUGGGGAAUCUUCAGUAAAAUCUCAUUGUUCACUAACGUCUUGUGUGGUUAAUUUUAUUUUUGAGGACUGUGAGCACUGAAUACUGCUUGUGGUCAGGUGACUCUGAGUGGGAUAACAGUCAUAUCUGGUUCUGUGGCCACACAUGUCAGCGUCAGAAGCCCACUUCAGCCCACAACCAACCCUUAGGGUCAGCAAUGCUGGCACCAUGGGAGGUUCUGUAUUUUGGAUUUACCAUAAUCCUCAUGGAAUAGUUUCCUUUUUUUCUUUCCUAUUUGUCCACAUUUAAGUUCAUGCUGCUGAUGUUUUAUUGAGUUCUUAUUAUGCAUUAAGUGCUAAAGGGAUGAUAAAGGGAGCUAGUGCUUGUAUCCUUUAUUUAUUUUAUUUAUUUUUUUAAAGAUUUUAUUUAUUUAUUUAUUUAUUUAUUUAUUUAUUUAUUUAUUUAUUCAUGAGAGACACAGAGAGAGGCAGAGACACAGGCAGAGAGAGAAGCAGGAUCCCUGUGGGGACGCCGAUGUGGGACUCAAUCCCAGGAUCCUGGAAUCACGCCCUGAGCCAAAGGCCGAUGCUCAAACACUGAGCCAUCCAGGCGUCCCUGUAUCCUUCUUUAGAGCUUCAAGUGCUGUCACAUGUAUUAAUCUCUUGGUUAUGGUAUGAGCUCUGCUCAAAAAUAAAUUGUGGUGACAUAAUAAAAAUGCCUUGUGUAACUGAAGUCAGGAGUUUGCGCAAAAUGAAAUAGAACUGAGAGGUGUAGGUGUUAACCUUAUCAUGAAAGCAGGCUUUUAAAUGAACAGGAGACAGUUCUUCAAAAAGGCAAAAUGGAUUAGACUUAAUGCUUUAUAUUAACGAAGGGAUUCCGAAUGAGUGGCCAUGUAUUUUUUAAUAGACCAAGAAAAAUAUUCUAUUCAGAAAAAUAAAGAAUUAAAAAGACUGACAGCUUCACUUGAAUGUUUUUGUCCUUUUCUAAAUUUACUUCUUUAUGAAGAAAAGAGUGAUAAUGACAACCCACAGAAGUGAUGGGCACUUGGGGUCAGGGGUUUGCUUUGGGGCUGCCAGGAAAGCUUUUGUUUGGAUUUGCUGCCGUGGCCUGCAGCAAAGCAAGUCUGUAAUUUUAGCUCUUGAAAUAGCAUUCAGUUCAAGGUAAGUUUAAAAAAAAAAAAAGAAAAGAAAAAGAAGCAUAUGUCUCUUCUGAAAACAUUCUGUUUUUGACAAACUCUUUUUCUCGGUUUUGUUGUUCAUAUGUUCUUAGGCCCCAUGGAGCUACAUAAAUGUACUUGAUAUUAACUCUUAAAUUAAAGCUCUCAGGGAAAAUCACUUCAUGGUAAAACGAGGGCCAUGUAGUAAGAUGUCUAUUCAGUGGUACCUAGGAUUCAAAAAAUAUUUUUGGCAGUACAAAUGAGACAGAACAUGCCAUGACAAUAUAUCGCGAUGCUAUUUCUGUGUAAUUAUGAGGAUGCUGUAUUUAGAUUUUGACAUUCGCAUGAAACGUUGGUGGCAGGUUUCCAGAAACAGCCCAAUGGAAGUAGAUGUUCCAGGGAGGGUUUGGAAUUGCUUAGGUGCCCAGUAGUCCAGGAAAUAAUCUCAACCAGCUCUGGCAAUUUGUAGAAGGCUCUUCAAAUUCGGAGAAAUUGAGUCUGUUUAAUAUAAAAAAGGAGGGUAUUAUGCUGAGUGAAGUAAGUCAGUCGGAGAAGGACAAACAUUAUAUGUUCUCAUUCAUUUGGGGAAUAUAAAUAAUAGUGAAAGGGAAUAUAAGGGAAGGGAGAAGAAAUGUGUAGGAAAUAUCAGAAAGGGAGACAGAACGUAAAGACUGCUAACUCUGGGAAACGAACUAGGGGUGGUAGAAGGGGAGGAGGGCGGGGGGUGGGAGUGAAUGGGUGACGGGCACUGGGUGUUAUUCUGUAUGUUAGUAAAUUGAACACCAAUAAAAAAUAAAUUAAAAAAAAUAUAUAAAAAAGGAGGAACAAAAUCAACUCUUUUGUGGAGGGGAUAACUCUUAUUUACAAUGUAAAGGGAUGCCAUGUGUGCCUUCUGGGUCGACCGUUUGACUUCCUCGUGCUCCAGUACACCAGCAAGGGAAAUAAUCAGUU
rnacentral:lncRNA from 1 species